AUUGAACGCUAGCGGCAUGCUUUACACAUGCAAGUCGAACGAGUGGCGGACGGGUGAGUAAUAUAUCGGAACGUGCCCAGUAGCGGGGGAUAACUACUCGAAACGGUGGCUAAUACCGCAUACUAUUGAAGCGGCCUAUAUCGGAUUAGCUAGUUGGUGGGGUAACGGCUCACCAAGGCAACGAUCCGUAGCUGGUUUGAGAGGACGACCAGCCACACUGGAACGGAGACACGGACCAGACUCCUACGGGAGGCAGCAGUGGGGAAUUUUGGACAAUGGGGGAAACCCUGAUCCAGCCAUCCCGCGUGUAUGAGAAGGCCUUCGGGUUGUAAAGUACUUUUGGCAGAGAAGCGUUACCUGCAGAAUAAGCACCGGCUAACUACGUGCCAGCCGCCGCGGUAAUUC
rnacentral:rRNA from 1 species